AGUGAACGCUGGCGGUAGGCCUAACACAUGCAAGUCGAACGGCAGCACAGUAAGAGCUUGCUCUUACGGGUGGCGAGUGGCGGACGGGUGAGGAAUACAUCGGAAUCUACUUUUUCGUGGGGGAUAACGUAGGGAAACUUACGCUAAUACCGCAUACGACCUACGGGUGAAAGCAGGGGAUCUUCGGACCUUGCGCGAUUGAAUGAGCCUAUGUCGGAUUAGCUAGUUGGCGGGGUAAAGGCCCACCAAGGCGACGAUCCGUAGCUGGUCUGAGAGGAUGAUCAGCCACACUGGAACUGAGACACGGUCCAGACUCCUACGGGAGGCAGCAGUGGGGAAUAUUGGACAAUGGGCGCAAGCCUGAUCCAGCCAUACCGCGUGGGUGAAGAAGGCCUUCGGGUUGUAAAGCCCUUUUGUUGGGAAAGAAAAGCAGCAGGUUAAUACCCCGCUGUUCUGACGGUACCCAAAGAAUAAGCACCGGCCAACUUCGUG
rnacentral:rRNA from 1 species